GACGUAGGGGGCAAGCGUUGUUCGGAAUUACUGGGCGUAAAGCGCACGUAGGCGGCUCGUUAAGUCGGAGGUGAAAUCCUGGAGCUCAACUCCAGAACUGCCUUCGAUACUGAUGAGCUCGAGUUCGGGAGAGGUGAGUGGAACUGCGAGUGUAGAGGUGAAAUUCGUAGAUAUUCGCAAGAACACCAGUGGCGAAGGCGGCUCACUGGCCCGAUACUGACGCUGAGGUGCGAAAGCGUGGGGAGCAAACAGG
rnacentral:rRNA from 1 species